rnacentral:lncRNA from 1 species
GCAGGAAUGUAUAUGAAAUGUCAGAUUUUAUUGUAUUUGCAGAGUAUUAGCUUUGAAAUUGAAUAAAGAAAGCUGUUUGUAGUUUUAAAAUGCCUUAUUGGUAUCAAUUAGAAAUUUCUUCUAUUUUUUGAUGUACUUAGAGCUUUUUGAGUAUAGAGUUUUAAAUGGCAGGAUUUUACAGUGUUUACAUGCACAUGCAUUUUAUAAGUGUUCUAUAUGUGUGAAAUAGUAUUUCCAGCUGGAAAGUGUUGGCCGGCGCAGAAGGCCUGGCCCUUUUCUGGUUCCCAUGAUGUUGCCCACACUGCUAGACUACAGUUUAGUGUUGCUUUGUAUCAUGAGGCCAAGAAGUUCCAUGUUGUUUGUAAAUAGAAUAAUUGAAAAAGCAAUAAACAUUUAUUGAACAAAAGAA